rnacentral:rRNA from 1 species
UACGUAGGGUGCGAGCGUUGUCCGGAAUUACUGGGCGUAAAGCGUACGCAGGCGGCUUUGCAAGACAGGUGUGAAAUCCCCGGGCCUAACCUGGGAACUGCAUUUGUGACUGCAUAGCUAGAGUUUGUCAGAGGGGGGUGGAAUUCCACGUGUAGCAGUGAAAUGCGUAGAUAUGUGGAGGAACACCGAUGGCGAAGGCAGCCCCCUGGGAUGUGACUGACGCUCAUGUACGAAAGCGUGGGGAGCAAACAGG